rnacentral:rRNA from 1 species
GACAGAGGCCUCAAGCGUUAGGCGGAAUCACUGGGCUUAAAGCGUGUGUAGGCGGAUCGUUAAGUGUCUUGUGAAAUCCCACGGCUCACCCGUGGAACUGCUGGGCAUACUGGCGAUCUUGGGCCAACUAGGGGCAACUGGAACAAGCGGUGGAGCGGCGAAAUGCGUAGAUAUCGCUUGGAACGCCGAAGGUGAAAACAGGUUGCUGGGGUUGUGCCGACGCUGAGACACGAAAGCCAGGGGAGCAAACGGG